ACUAUUCCUCCCUUGGGGUUGCGCUACUGUUCAAUGAGUGCUUGUGAGGGCGCUACUGCUAAUACCUACACAACACACCUACAUCAACUAGAGCUUUGCUUUACUUUGGUGCAAUUUUUGGAAAA
ensembl:snRNA